rnacentral:rRNA from 1 species
GGUUAAGCGACUAAGCGUACACGGUGGAUGCCCUGGCAGUCAGAGGCGAUGAAGGACGUGCUAAUCUGCGAUAAGCGUCGGUAAGGUGAUAUGAACCGUUAUAACCGGCGAUUUCCGAAUGGGGAAACCCAGUGUGAUUCGUCACACUAUCAUUAACUGAAUCCAUAGGUUAAUGAGGCGAACCGGGGGAACUGAAACAUCUAAGUACCCCGAGGAAAAGAAAUCAACCGAGAUUCCCCCAGUAGCGGCGAGCGAACGGGGAGGAGCCCAGAGCCUGAAUCAGUGUGUGUGUUAGUGGAAGCGUCUGGAAAGGCGCGCGAUACAGGGUGACAGCCCCGUACACAAAAAUGCACAUACUGUGAGCUCGAUGAGUAGGGCGGGACACGUGGUAUCCUGUCUGAAUAUGGGGGGACCAUCCUCCAAGGCUAAAUACUCCUGACUGACCGAUAGUGAACCAGUACCGUGAGGGAAAGGCGAAAAGAACCCCGGCGAGGGGAGUGAAAAAGAACCUGAAACCGUGUACGUACAAGCAGUGGGAGCCUCUUUUAUGGGGUGACUGCGUACCUUUUGUAUAAUGGGUCAGCGACUUAUAUUCUGUAGCAAGGUUAACCGAAUAGGGGAGCCGAAGGGAAACCGAGUCUUAACCGGGCGUUAAGUUGCAGGGUAUAGACCCGAAACCCGGUGAUCUAGCCAUGGGCAGGUUGAAGGUUGGGUAACACUAACUGGAGGACCGAACCGACUAAUGUUGAAAAAUUAGCGGAUGACUUGUGGCUGGGGGUGAAAGGCCAAUCAAACCGGGAGAUAGCUGGUUCUCCCCGAAAGCUAUUUAGGUAGCGCCUCGUGAAUUCAUCUCCGGGGUAGAGCACUGUUUCGGCAAGGGGGUCAUCCCGACUUACCAACCCGAUGCAAACUGCGAAUACCGGAGAAUGUUAUCACGGGAGACACACGGCGGGUGCUAACGUCCGUCGUGAAGAGGGAAACAACCCAGACCGCCAGCUAAGGUCCCAAAGUCAUGGUUAAGUGGGAAACGAUGUGGGAAGGCCCAGACAGCCAGGAUGUUGGCUUAGAAGCAGCCAUCAUUUAAAGAAAGCGUAAUAGCUCACUGGUCGAGUCGGCCUGCGCGGAAGAUGUAACGGGGCUAAACCAUGCACCGAAGCUGCGGCAGCGACACUGUGUGUUGUUGGGUAGGGGAGCGUUCUGUAAGCCUGUGAAGGUGUACUGUGAGGUAUGCUGGAGGUAUCAGAAGUGCGAAUGCUGACAUAAGUAACGAUAAAGCGGGUGAAAAGCCCGCUCGCCGGAAGACCAAGGGUUCCUGUCCAACGUUAAUCGGGGCAGGGUGAGUCGACCCCUAAGGCGAGGCCGAAAGGCGUAGUCGAUGGGAAACAGGUUAAUAUUCCUGUACUUGGUGUUACUGCGAAGGGGGGACGGAGAAGGCUAUGUUGGCCGGGCGACGGUUGUCCCGGUUUAAGCGUGUAGGCUGGUUUUCCAGGCAAAUCCGGAAAAUCAAGGCUGAGGCGUGAUGACGAGGCACUACGGUGCUGAAGCAACAAAUGCCCUGCUUCCAGGAAAAGCCUCUAAGCAUCAGGUAACAUCAAAUCGUACCCCAAACCGACACAGGUGGUCAGGUAGAGAAUACCAAGGCGCUUGAGAGAACUCGGGUGAAGGAACUAGGCAAAAUGGUGCCGUAACUUCGGGAGAAGGCACGCUGAUAUGUAGGUGAAGUCCCUCGCGGAUGGAGCUGAAAUCAGUCGAAGAUACCAGCUGGCUGCAACUGUUUAUUAAAAACACAGCACUGUGCAAACACGAAAGUGGACGUAUACGGUGUGACGCCUGCCCGGUGCCGGAAGGUUAAUUGAUGGGGUCAGCGCAAGCGAAGCUCUUGAUCGAAGCCCCGGUAAACGGCGGCCGUAACUAUAACGGUCCUAAGGUAGCGAAAUUCCUUGUCGGGUAAGUUCCGACCUGCACGAAUGGCGUAAUGAUGGCCAGGCUGUCUCCACCCGAGACUCAGUGAAAUUGAACUCGCUGUGAAGAUGCAGUGUACCCGCGGCAAGACGGAAAGACCCCGUGAACCUUUACUAUAGCUUGACACUGAACAUUGAGCCUUGAUGUGUAGGAUAGGUGGGAGGCUUUGAAGUGUGGACGCCAGUCUGCAUGGAGCCGACCUUGAAAUACCACCCUUUAAUGUUUGAUGUUCUAACGUGGACCCGUGAUCCGGGUUGCGGACAGUGUCUGGUGGGUAGUUUGACUGGGGCGGUCUCCUCCUAAAGAGUAACGGAGGAGCACGAAGGUUGGCUAAUCCUGGUCGGACAUCAGGAGGUUAGUGCAAUGGCAUAAGCCAGCUUGACUGCGAGCGUGACGGCGCGAGCAGGUGCGAAAGCAGGUCAUAGUGAUCCGGUGGUUCUGAAUGGAAGGGCCAUCGCUCAACGGAUAAAAGGUACUCCGGGGAUAACAGGCUGAUACCGCCCAAGAGUUCAUAUCGACGGCGGUGUUUGGCACCUCGAUGUCGGCUCAUCACAUCCUGGGGCUGAAGUAGGUCCCAAGGGUAUGGCUGUUCGCCAUUUAAAGUGGUACGCGAGCUGGGUUUAGAACGUCGUGAGACAGUUCGGUCCCUAUCUGCCGUGGGCGCUGGAGAACUGAGGGGGGCUGCUCCUAGUACGAGAGGACCGGAGUGGACGCAUCACUGGUGUUCGGGUUGUCAUGCCAAUGGCACUGCCCGGUAGCUAAAUGCGGAAGAGAUAAGUGCUGAAAGCAUCUAAGCACGAAACUUGCCCCGAGAUGAGUUCUCCCUGACCCUUUAAGGGUCCUGAAGGAACGUUGAAGACGACGACGUUGAUAGGCCGGGUGUGUAAGCGCAGCGAUGCGUUGAGCUAACCGGUACUAAUGAACCGUGAGGCUUAACCUUACAACGCCGAAGGUGUUUUG